GAUGAACGCUGGCGGCGUGCCUAAUACAUGCAAGUCGAACGGAAAGGCGCUAAGCUUGCUUGUCUGUUGUUAGCGGAGGACGGGUGAGUAACACGUGUAUAACCUCCUUAUAAGACUGGGAUCUUCUCGGGACACCGGCGAUAAUCCGAGAUAAUAUCUUGAUCCGCAUGGUUCAAUAGAGAUUGACGGUCUUGCUGUCACUUAUAGAUGGAUCCGCGCUGCUGUAGCUGGUUGGUACGGUAACGGCUUACCACGGCAACGAUGCCUGGCCGACCUGCGAGGGUGAUCGGCCACACGAGAGCUGAGACACGGUCCAGACGCCUACGAGAGGCAGCAGUAGAGAAUGUUCCGCAAUGGGCGAAAGCCUGACGGAGCAACGCCACGUGAGUGAUGAAAGUCUUCGGAUCGUAAAGCUCGGUUAUUAGGGAUGAACAGAUGUGUAAGUAGCUGUGCACAUCUUGACGGUACCUAAUCAGAAAGCCACGGCUAACUACGUG
rnacentral:rRNA from 1 species